GCAUCACUUGUCCUCAAGACGAUUAUAAAGUCAGUCAGUUCUCCUCCAAUCUGUGCUCCCCAGCCCAUACCAAUUGAUGAAAUUGCAGACGGAGGAGACCAUGAGCCAUCUUCUCUACGUGCAACUACGAGACCAGUUCCUACAUUGUAAGUCACCACUGCUCCCACUUUGACAACAGUAAUAAUUGCUAGGCCUUUUGCUUGUCCUAGAAUCGCAUCCGGAAUUAGUUU
rnacentral:misc_RNA from 1 species